GUCCAGGGGGAUGGAACUCGAACCCACAAUGUUCCGCUUACCGGGCAGAUGCCAUGUCCACUAGGUUACCCUGGA
rnacentral:tRNA from 1 species